rnacentral:misc_RNA from 1 species
UUUCUGUAGGUGAACCUGCAGAAGGAUCAUUAGUGAAGAUUUGGGCAGGCCAUACGGACGCCAAAAAGUGUCCCUGGCCGCCUACACCCACUAUACAUCCACAAACCCGUGUGCACUGUCUUGGAGAAAGGCUUCAGAGAAGUUUUUUGUGGCCUCUCUUGGGGUCUUUCUUCGCUACAAACUCGAAUGGUUAGUAUGAACGUGGAACUUGGUUGGACCGUCACUGGCCAACAAACUAUACACAACUUUCGACAACGGAUCUCUUGGUUCUC